GGUGUUUGAAAUGAAGUUUGUUCCAAGAUCCAUCCAUUUGUUCCGCGAUUAGUAUUAUUGGAGAGGAUUUCGGACCAGGCUUCAUUUCUCACACC
rnacentral:pre_miRNA from 1 species